AGCAGCCGCGGUAAUUCCAGCUCCAAUAGCGUAUAUUAAAGUUGUUGCAGUUAAAAGGCUCGUAGUUGAAUUUCGGGAUCAAUAUGCUGGUCGUGCCAUUGGUACGUACUAGUAUUAUUGGUUUCUCCUUUCUGAUGAAUCAUGAUGUCAUUAAUUUGAUGUCAUGAGGAAUCAGGACUGUUACUUUGAAAAAUUAGAGUGUUUAAAGCAGGCUCGCGCUUGAAUACAUUAGCAUGGAAUAAUGAAAUAGGAUGUUUGAUUCUAUUUUGUUGGUUUCUAGGAUUGACGUAAUGAUUAAUAGGGAUAGUUGGGGGCAUUAGUAUUCAAUUGUCAGAGGUGAAAUUCUUGGAUUUAUUGAAGACUAACUACUGCGAAAGCAUUUGCCAAGGAUGUUUUCAUUAAUCAAGAACGAAAGUUAGGGGGUCGAAGACGAUCAGAUACCGUCGUAGUCUUAACCAUAAACUAUGCCGACUAGGGAUCGGAUGAUGUAAUUUUUAAU
rnacentral:misc_RNA from 1 species